rnacentral:rRNA from 1 species
GGGGAAUUUUGCGCAAUGAGCGAAAGCUUGACGCAGCAACGCCGCGUGACCGAAGAAGCAUCUAGGUGUGUAAAGGUCUGUCGUUAAAGAAGAAGUGAAUAUAAAUAAAUAAUUUAUAUUUUUGACGGUAUUUAACAAGAAAGCUCCGGCUAACUCCGUGCCAGCAGCCGCGGUAAUACGGGGGGAGCAAGCGUUAUCCGGAAUUACUGGGCAUAAAGGGCGCGUAGGCGGAUUAGUAAGUCAGUUUUAAAAUACAACAGCUUAACUGUUGAUUAGGAACUGAAACUGUUAAUCUUGAGUGCGAGAGAAGGAAGUGGAAUUCCUGGUGUAGCGGUGAAAUGCGUAGAUAUCAGGAGGAACACCGGUGGCGAAGGCGGCUUCCUAGCUCGUAACUGACGCUAAGGUGCAAAAGCGUGGGUAGCAAACAGGAUUAGAUACCCUGGUAGUCCACGCUGUAAACGAUGUAUACUUGAUGUUGGGGGAUCUAACCCCCUCAGUGUCGUAGCUAAUGCGAUAAGUAUACCGCCUGGGGACUACGGUCGCAAGGCUGAAACUCAAAGGAAUUGACG